UCAUGUACACAGAGAACUUAGGAAUCAUGCUUCCUACAUUGAAUAGCCGAUAGUUUGGUUAUGUUGGUAGAACUCACGGAACUGCUAUUAAUGUCAAUCCCUUAUUUAUAAAUGCACCUUCUUUAUUACAACAAAAAUGGUGUCUUAUUCUCUUCAAAAGAUGCCAUUAGGACUGGAUUUCUAUGAGGAUCUAUUUGAGGAGUUGAACAAGUAGAGAGAGAUUGAGAGCCUUAAUAUCUGUGGCAAUUUGGCUGACCACGUGGUGGGUAAUGUAUAUUUCAGUUUUGAGAGGAAGAACAUGCUGCUAAUGCUUUACUGCAAUCUAAGCGGAAGGUUCUAUGUUGGUUAGUCUUUUACCUUUUGUCCUUGAAUGUUACAUUAUUGUCACUUCUGAUUUUCCUUGGGUUAGUACCUUUGCUUCCCACUUCACUGAUAAAAUCCCUUCUCAUAUCCUCCAUAGUUUCGUUCAAUUCUUAUUUAUACUUUAAUUAUUUCUAAUUGAUGGACGGAGUGGAUUUGUCAUGGGCAUCUUUGAGGGCCCCAGACAGCUUUGGACCACAGGAAAUUGGGCAUAGGUAAUUAACGUCUACCUUAUCUAUACUAAUAGCUAGUUUUUUGGACUGUCUUGCCCUUUGUUUUAUUUGAAUUAAAGCUAUCAUCUAAAUCCAAGUCAUAGUUGACAAACCAUGGAUGUGUGUCUGGUUUUGAGAGGGCCAGUUUCGUCCUCCAGAUUAAAUGGCAUGA